CCUACGUGCGGCAGCAGUGAGGAAUAUUGGUCAAUGGGCGCGAGCCUGAACCAGCCAAGUAGCGUGAAGGAUGACUGCCCUACGGGUUGUAAACUUCUUUUAUAAAGGAAUAAAGUGAGGCACGUGUGCCUUUUUGUAUGUACUUUAUGAAUAAGGAUCGGCUAACUCCGUGCCAGCAGCCGCGGUAAUACGGAGGAUCCGAGCGUUAUCCGGAUUUAUUGGGUUUAAAGGGAGCGUAGAUGGGUUGUUAAGUCAGUUGUGAAAGUUUGCGGCUCAACCGUAAAAUUGCAAUUGAUACUGGCAGUCUUGAGUACAGUCGAGGUAGGCGGAAUUCGUGGUGUAGCGGUGAAAUGCUUAGAUAUCACGAAGAACUCCGAUUGCGAAGGCAGCUUACUAAACUGCCACUGACAUUGAUGCUCGAAAGUGUGGGUAUCAAACAGGAUUAGAUACCCUUGUAGUC
rnacentral:rRNA from 1 species